rnacentral:rRNA from 1 species
GACAGAGGUGCCGAGCGUUAGGCGGAAUCACUGGGCUUAAAGCGUGUGUAGGCGGGCGGGCAAGUACCUUGUGAAAUCCCAACGGCUCAACCGUGGAACGGCUGGGUAUACUGCCUGUCUUGAGCCAACUAGGGGCGAGCGGAACAGACGGUGGAGCGGUGAAAUGCGUAGAUAUCGUCUGGAACGCCGAAGGUGAAAACAGCUCGCUGGGGUUGUGCUGACGCUGAGACACGAAAGCCAGGGGAGCGAACGGG